ensembl:lncRNA
CCGGUUCGUAAAAGAUGGAUGCUGGUUGUGUGAGUCAACGUGCCCGUCCCGGUACAAAAGCACAUAUUGAUCCCCCAGAAACGGAUCAGAAGUUUCUGGCACCACAUCGUAGAUCCUUCCACGGAGACGAGCAUUAGAUCUAACAAUGGUGAUGAUGAUCCUGAUGAAGGCCACAAGCCAAAAUGUGUCAGUGGAGCAGUGAAGUUUUCUGAAUCAUUCAAAUGUUCUUCGAGAUCCAACUUUCUAUUUCCUUAUUGCUUCAGGACUCUGUGUGGUGAUUUCACUGACAGCUUAUUUAUUAAUAAGUAAUUAUUUAUAUUAUUGUUGAAAACAACUCCAAGAGGUAAUUUAGUUUUAUAGAAGAGAGCAGUCUCUCUGUCAGGUGAACAUCUACAAGUAUACUAACAAAUUAAAUCUGAAGAUGACAGUCAGUAAUGCAGCCUGAUUUAAAACAUUAAUAUGGAAAUAAAAGAUUGAAUGAGUGACUGCUGCUGUCUGAACUUGUAAUGUGACUCUUUCCUUACUUGUUUAAAAUGUCUGAAUGAUUAGUCAUUACUGCUUUUCUUGAAAUCUCAACACAGAAGAAGAAGAAUAAAAAUAAAAUGAUUGACUGCUGCUGUCUGAACUUGUAAUGUGACUCUUUCCUUACUUGUUUAAAAUGUCUGAAUGAUUAGUCAUUACUGCUUUUCUUGAAAUCUCAACACAGAAGAAGAAGAAUAAAAAUAAAAUGAUGUGAAAUUAGUCA